GCCUACGUGGUGUAGUGGUCAGCACGCUCGACGCGUAACCGAGAUGUCCGUGGUUCGAUUCCCGGCGAAGGCC
rnacentral:tRNA from 1 species